CGCAUCUGUGCAUGCAGCAUAUCAAUAAGCGGAGGAAAAGAAACUAACAAGGAUUCCCCUAGUAACGGCGAGUGAAGCGGGAAGAGCUCAAAUUUGAAAUCUUAAAGGGUUUCCCUUUACGAAUUGUAGUUUAAAGAAGUGUUUUCUGUUGAGGUUUUGGUAAAAGUUCUUUGGAAUAGGACAUCAUAGAGGGUGAGAAUCCCGUAUUCGACCUUUACUUUCAACUUUGUGAUACACUUUCAAAGAGUCGGAUUGUUUGGGAAUGCAGUCCAAAAUGGGUGGUAAAUUUCAUCUAAAGCUAAAUAUUGGCGAGAGACCGAUAGCGAACAAGUACCGUGAGGGAAAGAUGAAAAGAACUUUGAAAAGAGAGUUGAACAGUACGUGAAAUUGUCAAAAGGGAAGCGUUUGACACCAGUGUUGUUUUUCUGAAAAUCAAUUAAAGAACUGUUUAUGCUAAGCUGUUUAGACUUUAUCAGCUAAUCUGUUUAGUUUUGAGCUUUUCUUUAAUGCACUUUUCAGUUAACAAGUCAACAUCAAUUUCUUUUGCUGUAAAAAAGCUUGAGGAAGGUGGCUUGAGAUUCGUCUUAAGUGUUUAUAGCCUCUUGCCUAUGCAGUCGGAGAGAUUGAGGUCCGCAGCGUAGAUCCUUCGGGGCUAAAUGCAUUUGCUGCUAAGUUAUAACAUUUUAUAGACAACUUGUUGACUAUGAUUUGUCUUGUAGCUUACUCGCUUAUGUUAUUUUACCUACGCUUAGGAUGUUGAGUCAUCACACAUCUCU
rnacentral:rRNA from 1 species